UGGGGAAUAUUGCACAAUGGGGGGAACCCUGAUGCAGCGACGCCGCGUGAAGGAAGAAGUAUUUCGGUAUGUAAACUUCUAUCAGCAGGGAAGAAAAUGACGGUACCUGACUAAGAAGCCCCGGCUAACUACGUGCCAGCAGCCGCGGUAAUACGUAGGGGGCAAGCGUUAUCCGGAUUUACUGGGUGUAAAGGGAGCGUAGGCGGCGAUGCAAGUCAGAAGUGAAAAGCCCGCAGCUCAAACUGCGGGACUGCUUUUGAAACUGUAUUGCUAGAUUGCAGGAGAGGUAAGUGGAAUUCCUAGUGUAGCGGUGAAAUGCGUAGAUAUUAGGAGGAACACCAGUGGCGAAAGGCGGCUUACUGGACUGUAAAAUGACGCUGAGGCUCGAAAAGCGUGGGGAGCAAAACAAGGAUUAGAUACC
rnacentral:rRNA from 1 species